rnacentral:rRNA from 1 species
CCUACGGGUGGCUGCAGUAGGGAAUAUUGGGCAAUGGUCGGAAGACUGACCCAGCCAUGCCGCGUGCAGGAAGAAGGUUCUCAGAACUGUAAACUGCUUUAGAAGGGGAAGAAAAAGCGCUUGCGAGCGAAAUUGACGGUACCCUUAGAAUAAGCACCGGCUAACUCCGUGCCAGCAGCCGCGGUAAUACGGGGGGUGCAAGCGUUGUCCGGAUUUAUUGGGUUUAAAGGGUGCGUAGGCGGUCUAUUAAGUCGGUGUUAAAAUACAGCAGCUUA